AUGAGUGAUGGAGGUCAAAACAGGAAGGCCAUUGCUUCAGUUAUGAUGCUUGUCUCAUGGAAAAUCUAAAAGGACCGCAACGCAAGAAUUUUUCGCAACACUGCUGCUCUGACCUCCAUUGUCGUCAGCAAAAUCAAACAUGAAGCCCAUCUUUGGGCGUUGGCGGGAGCCAAGCAUUUGAGUCUUAAAAAAGUAAAAGGAGUCCAAGCUCCGACCUCCUUUUGUUUUGGCCCAUCUCUGGGCUGUAAACCAAACACACCCUAG
rnacentral:rRNA from 1 species